rnacentral:sRNA from 1 species
ACGCGCAUCUGUCGAGCAUGAGAUAACUCCACGCUGGCAAUCGCGCACUGCUUUCGACUCUUGACCACGGAUGUACUGGCACUAGUCUUGGAAGCGACAAAGAAAGAAGGUCGGAGCCAGCGCGCCCCGGCCUUUUUUGUU